UUCUGACGUGCAAAUCGAUAAUCUGAUCUGGGUAUAGGGGCGAAAGACUAAUCGAACCAUCUAGUAGCUGGUUCCUUCCGAAGUUUCCCUCAGGAUAGCAAGCGUACAUUUUUAGUUUCAUCCCGUAAAGCGAAUGAUUAGAGGCCUUGAGGCGUAUAUAGCCUCAACCUAUUCUCAAACUUUUAAUGGGUGUGAGUGUUCUUUCUCAAUUGAAGAACGCUGCUAAAUAAGUAUGCUUAGUGGGCCAUUUUUGGUAAGCAGAACUGGCGCUGUGGGUUGAACCAAUUGUUGAGUUAAAGUGCCUAAAGCUGGAAUGCGCAUGAGAUCUAUAAAGGGUGUUAGUUGCUGAAGACAGCAGGACGGUGGCCAUGGAAGUCGGAAUCCGCUAAGGAGUGUGUAACAACUCACCUGCC
rnacentral:rRNA from 1 species